AAACUAAAUUUGCAGACACUUUUCCCCUCACCUCUUCGAAUUUGGCAAACUCCCUCUAACACACCCUCCCUCUCUGUCACCCUAUCCCCUUCUCGCCCCCUCACAAUCUCUCUUCCUCCUCCAACACACCCUCACCCUACCUCUCGGCCUCGUACCCUCUCCCCCUCUCGCCCCCUAGCUGCUAACAAGUUGUGCAGAUGUCAAACCUUAUUAGAAGUCGUAAGGCAGUGACGACUGCACCCCGUUCGCCUCUCCCAGCUCAUCUGUCAGCUGCCACUACUCCUGCACAAAUAGACCAUUUGCCGGUUAGUCCCGGGGUCUCCCAGGCACCGACGUCAUCAGCCUCAUCCGUGGCGUUACCUGUUAGCACCAGGCGUGGUCAUCGUCGCCCCUGCAUGCCCGACACACCAUCAACAUCCACUACUCAUGUGUCGAGGUCACAUCAAGCCAAGAAGAACACCGGGGACCUUGUUGCCAGUUAAAAACGGCGAAGAUCACCCGGGCGAACAACGGCCAUAUCAAUAUCAGAUACGACGAGCAACAUCGGACUACAACAACGGCGGAGUAGCAUAGCGCAUUGGCCCACGACAUUGGUCACGUCAUUUAGACAUAUUGCCCUAUGAAAUGGAAGUCUUGGAAUGUGAUGUCAGAUGAGGUGAGGAUGCAGGUGCGGUCACAAUUGUCGUUUAAAGGACAUCAAUGACGAGUUGUUGGCAUACAUCAACAUGCUCUUCGUUGAACGGUACAAGCAGUGGAAGAGCGACAUGCAUCAAUAUUUUCAGACAUUUGAUAAUUCACAAGUCGCUCUUGAGGAGGGUUGCCCAUAGGAGUUUAAGGGUUGGGAGGAUAAUUGGGCAUGGCUCUGCGGUCAUUUUCAGGAGCUCGGCGAUGUGUUUUUUAUAUUAAGCUUAAAAUUAUUAUACGUGUUUUACUAAUGUUUAUUGAUUUUUUUAUAUUUCAUUUUAGUUUGAACUAAUACGUUUAUUUUUUGUAUAACAGAAGAAGGUGAAAGCUAACAAGAGCAAUAGGGACAAAAAGACUCUUCUCCACCAUUCCGGUUCGACACCCUUCUCAUAUAGGAUGGAGGCAUGGCAGCGGGGAGUUCAAAAUUCCCAGAGAUCGAUGUCUUUAGCGACGUUUAUGUUCGACCCGGGGAUGAGUUGACCGAGUCCCUUCAUCGACGAUGAUGAAGAAGAGGCAGUUGGUUCUUCAGGAGUUCGCCUCCCAACUUCCUCCGAUACUCCACUCGAGUCUGUGGAUCCCCCAAAGGAUGCAGGGUUUCAAAUCCUUACGGAGACCUUGGAUCAGACUCUCGGGCGAAGGCUAGGGACAUAUUGUAGGGGGAUAGGGAAUGCUAGGUGGCAGAAACUUAGAGCCCUUUCAUCAUCGCAAUCAAACAAUCAGGCGACAGCUUUGACAGCAGAGGUGGCCAGCCUUAGGACAAAACUCACCUCGUAUAGGAGCCAAAUGUCACAGCUUGUACAGGCCCUCAGUCAAUCCGGCAUUCGUCUCCCGAAUUUGCAUCCCCCAUCGACCUCCGAGCCCUUCCAACCCAAGCAUGGCCACACCUAUGCCCCUUCGACCUCUGCCCCUAUUGACAACCUUGAGACCUUCCAGCCGCCUUUGUAAGACGACCACAUAGAUUAUGCCACAUUAUGUUCUUAGUUUUUUACUUCCUUACUUUUUAAACAUUUUUCUUGUACAUAGCACAUACAUUUAUAUUACUUUUUAAAUAUAUUAUUUUUCUCUUCAUUA